rnacentral:lncRNA from 1 species
UACAAGCGGCAUCCCUGUAUUUUUAGGUUGUGUUUUUAUCAUUGCCAUUUUCUCUCUAUCUGUGAGGGCAUUUUAAGGAAGAAAAUUCAUUUUUCAGAUGAACAUCAUUUUAAACUCAGAGCAUAGAGGAAAGCCUGGGUUCAGUCAGGUUUCUUUGACUCACAACUGUGUGGAGAAGACUCAGCCUAAUAAUGAUAAUCCUUGAAUGUUUGACAUUUUCGUCAACUCAUCUAAUAAUCUUCUCCACAUGUUCCUGGAUCAUCAAAGAUGGAUAAGAGAAAUUCAUAAACCGCUCUUGGAAGACAUUAAGUUUUCAAUCUCUGAUUUGGAAAGUUUAUUCUAGAGAUUUCCUGAAGAGGAAAGGGAUUGAAUUUGGAAGGAAAUCUGCAGGAGGCAGGACGUAGUCUGGUGGACACUGAGGUAACUUGGCCUGAGCUGAGCUCUGUAGAUCUCACUCCAUGAUGCGGGUUGAAUAAGCGCCACCCUGGCGACACCCAAGAACGGUUUUGGGGUGAGAGCUCUUGCCGUGGGAUGUUUUGUUUUAGUGCCAGGACUCAGGUGGGUCGAUCCACACAUGGUGGCCACCUGAGACUCACCAUAGAAAGUGCUCUGACAUAAAGGCCCCCAGCAGAAGGAGUCCGCUGGGCUAAAAUGGGAACCAAGCCCUCUCUCUCUCCUUUCUUAGGCAAUUAAAGAGCCUCGUUGCACACUUGGAGACACUGUUCACGCAGGCGAUUCUUCUGCUAUUAGAGAAGCAGAUUGACUCCAUUUUGAUCAUCCUGCCCUUGUGUGCUUGGCAAGCGCAGUGUGAUGUCCAUAUGCUCUAUUGUUCCCGUCAGCAGGGCGCUAACGUUUCUUUUGCUGCUGCUCUCACUUCUGUGGGGGAUGUUUUUUUAGCCCCCUUUUC